AACUGUGAUGACACUGAGGAAAUAUUCUGCAAUCUUCAACAUGGUUACGCACAUAGCAAUUGCUGUACAGUGUAAUGCCAGCUUGUAUGUUUUUCUAAGAAAGUGACAAGGUGUGUCACGGUGGAAGCUGUGCAUCUGGACAGGAUGAGAGUGGUUGCAUUCCAACGGCUGUAAGCAUGACAUCACCUGGCCUUGUGUGAAAGAUGCGUAUGAACGGAUCAACCAGAUGUAUACCUCCAAUUUAAAUUGCAUCUUAACUAAGAAGUUAACUUGGAUCUGCUUCACAUGGAGUCAUUGAUGUUCAACUAAGCAGUAGGAUACAGUUUUCUGAUCAGAUGAAAUUGCUUUAUCUUAUCUGGCUGGAAUUAAAAGAGCUGAGACUACCAUCAGGAAAAUCUACCAUGUAAUAACACUAACCCAGAACACUGCUACUGAGUCUACCACACAGUAACACGAAUCUAGACAUUGCUACUGUGUCUUCUAUACUGAUGCUACUGAUUCUGCCACAGAGUAAUGUGGACUAGGACAUUGUUGUUAAGAGUUUCCAUGCAGUUACACUGACCGGGGUAGUCCAAACAGGAAAAACAAAGUAACGUUGACUUAGGAUGUUGCUACCAAGUCUUCCAUAAUGUUACAAUGACACCAAAGUGUAGCUUUUCUAUGGAAAAUUCAGACAGCUAACUGGUUACCUGUCAAUAGGCGCCAUAAACUCUUUAUUAUCUGUUUAUGUAAACUCUCCUGAUACUGAAGGCUGGACUCUGCUGAACACUGGAUAAACAUGCAACUCACUCUGGGUGACAUUAGUGCAAAAAAUUUUCAAAUGUGAUUGUGAGAUAUAGACAGAAUUCUUUUAAGUAAUAUUCAAGUAAUGCUCAAAGAUGGUAUAAAAAAUCCCUGAAUGUAACAUCAAAGUUCAGAUGACUGUGAAAGAAAGACAAUUAUACUUACUAGUAAAAAUCUAUAAGAUUAGAUAUUAAAAUAAUGUUUAAAAGUGACAGUAGGUACAGUAAAAUGUGGAUAAGAUGUGUUUUGAUUGAUAAUGCCAAAUAAAGUGUAACUGAUUGUUCCAGUGUGUUUAUAUC
rnacentral:lncRNA from 1 species